GACGAACGCUGGCGGCGUGCCUAAUACAUGCAAGUCGAGCGCAGGAAGCCGUCUGAACCCUUCGGGGGGACGACGGUGGAAUGAGCGGCGGACGGGUGAGUAACACGUAAAGAACCUGCCCAUAGGUCUGGGAUAACCACGAGAAAUCGGGGCUAAUACCGGAUGUGUCAUCGGACCGCAUGGUCCGCUGAUGAAAGGCGCUCCGGCGUCGCCCAUGGAUGGCUUUGCGGUGCAUUAGCUAGUUGGUGGGGUAACGGCCCACCAAGGCGACGAUGCAUAGCCGACCUGAGAGGGUGAUCGGCCACACUGGGGACUGAGACACGGCCCAGACUCCUACGGGAGGCAGCAGUAGGGAAUCUUCCACAAUGGACGAAAGUCUGAUGGAGCAACGCCGCGUGAACGAUGAAGGCUUUCGGGUCGUAAAGUUCUGUUGUAAGGGAGAACAAGUGCCGCAGGCAAUGGCGGCACCUUGACGGUACCUUG
rnacentral:rRNA from 1 species